GAUCAUUACCGAGUUAUUCAACUCAUCAACCCUGUGAACUUACCUAAACGUUGCUUCGGCGGGAAUAGACGGCCCUGUAAAACGGGCCGCCCCCGCCAGAGGACUCUUAACUCUGUUUCUUAUAAUGUUUCUUCUGAGUAAAACAAGCAAAUAAAUUAAAACUUUCAACAACGGAUCUCUUGGCUCUGGCAUCGAUGAAGAACGCAGCGAAAUGCGAUAAGUAAUGUGAAUUGCAGAAUUCAGUGAAUCAUCGAAUCUUUGAACGCACAUUGCGCCCGCCAGUAUUCUGGCGGGCAUGCCUGUUCGAGCGUCAUUACAACCCUCAGGCCCCCGGGCCUGGCGUUGGGGAUCGGCGGAGCGCCCCUCGUGGGCGCACGCCGUCCCCCAAAUACAGUGGCGGUCCCGCCGCAGCUUCCAUCGCGUAGUAGCUAACACCUCGCGACUGGAGAGCGGCGCGGCCACGCCGUAAAACACCCCAACUCUUCUGAAGUUGACCUCGAAUCAGGUAGGAAUACCCGCUGAACCUAAGCA
rnacentral:misc_RNA from 1 species